AGUGAACGCUGGCGGUGGGCCUAACACAUGCAAGUCGAACGGCAGCACAGUACUAGCUUGCUCUUACGGGUGGCGAGUGGCGGACGGGUGAGGAAUACAUCGGAAUCUACUUUUUCGUGGGGGUUAACGUAGGGAAACUUACGCUAAUACCGCAUACGACCUACGGGUGAAAGCAUGGGAUCUUCGGACCUUGUGCGAUUGAAUGAGCCGCUGUCGGAUUAGCUGGUUGGCGGGGUAAAGGCCCACCAAGGCGACGAUCCGUAGCUGGUCUGAGAGGAUGAUCAGCCACACUGGAACUGAGACACGCACCAGACUCCUACGGGAGGCAGCAGAGGGGAAUAUUGGACAAUGGGCGCAAGCCUGAUCCAACCAGACCGAGUGGGUGAAGAAGACCUUCGGGUUGUAAAGCCCUUUUGUUGGGAGAGAAAAGCAGCAGGUUAAGACCCAGCUGUUCUGACGGUACCCAAAGAAUAAGCACCGGCUAACUUCGUG
rnacentral:rRNA from 1 species